rnacentral:rRNA from 1 species
AGCGAACGCUGGCGGCAGGCCUAACACAUGCAAGUCGAACGAUUCUUCGGGAUAGUGGCGGACGGGUGAGUAACACGUGGGAACGUGCCUUUUGGUUCGGAACAACUCAGGGAAACUUGAGCUAAUACCGGAUGUGCCCUUCGGGGGAAAGAUUUAUCGCCAUUAGAGCGGCCCGCGUCUGAUUAGCUAGUUGGUGGGGUAAAGGCCUACCAAGGCGGCGAUCAGUAGCUGGUCUGAGAGGAUGAUCAGCCACAUUGGGACUGAGACACGGCCCAAACUCCUACGGGAGGCAGCAGUGGGGAAUCUUGCGCAAUGGGCGAAAGCCUGACGCAGCCAUGCCGCGUGAAUGAUGAAGGUCUUAGGAUUGUAAAAUUCUUUCACCGGGGACGAUAAUGACGGUACCCGGAGAAGAAGCCCCGGCUAACUUCGUGCCAGCCGCCGCGGUAA